UGAGGAAUAUUGGUCAAUGGGCGGGAGCCUGAACCAGCCAAGCCGCGUGAGGGAAGACGGUCCUAUGGAUUGUAAACCUCUUUUGCCGGGGAGCAAAGAGCGGUACGUGUACCGCGCCGAGAGUACCCGGAGAAAAAGCAUCGGCUAACUCCGUGCC
rnacentral:rRNA from 1 species